AAUCCAUAGGUUAAUGAGGCGAACCGGGGGAACUGAAACAUCUAAGUACCCCGAGGAAAAGAAAUCAACCGAGAUUCCCCCAGUAGCGGCGAGCGAACGGGGAGGAGCCCAGAGCCUGAAUCAGCAUGUGUGUUAGUGGAAGCGUCUGGAAAGGCGCGCGAUACAGGGUGACAGCCCCGUACACAAAAGCGCAUGUGCUGUGAGCUCGAUGAGUAGGGCGGGACACGUGGUAUCCUGUCUGAAUAUGGGGGGACCAUCCUCCAAGGCUAAAUACUCCUGACUGACCGAUAGUGAACCAGUACCGUGAGGGAAAGGCGAAAAGAACCCCGGCGAGGGGAGUGAAAAAGAACCUGAAACCGUGUACGUACAAGCAGUGGGAGCACAGGUUUACCUGUGUGACUGCGUACCUUUUGUAUAAUGGGUCAGCGACUUAUAUUCUGUAGCAAGGUUAACCGAAUAGGGGAGCCGGAGGGAAACCGAGUCUUAAUUGGGCGUUAAGUUGCAGGGUAUAGACCCGAAACCCGGUGAUCUAGCCAUGGGCAGGUUGAAGGUUGGGUAACACUAACUGGAGGACCGAACCGACUAAUGUUGAAAAAUUAGCGGAUGACCUGUGGCUGGGGGUGAAAGGCCAAUCAAACCGGGAGAUAGCUGGUUCUCCCCGAAAGCUAUUUAGGUAGCGCCUCGUGAAUUCAUCUCCGGGGGUAGAGCACUGUUUCGGCUAGGGGGCCAUCCCGGCUUACCAACCCGAUGCAAACUGCGAAUACCGGAGAAUGUUAUCACGGGAGACACACGGCGGGUGCUAACGUCCGUCGUGAAGAGGGAAACAACCCAGACCGCCAGCUAAGGUCCCAAAGUCAUGGUUAAGUGGGAAACGAUGUGGGAAGGCCCAGACAGCCAGGAUGUUGGCUUAGAAGCAGCCAUCAUUUAAAGAAAGCGUAAUAGCUCACUGGUCGAGUCGGCCUGCGCGGAAGAUGUAACGGGGCUAAACCAUGCACCGAAGCUGCGGCAGCGACGCUUAUGCGU
rnacentral:rRNA from 2 species